rnacentral:rRNA from 1 species
AUUGAACGCUGGCGGCAGGCCUAACACAUGCAAGUCGAGCGAGCGGCUUACGGUUGCGUCCUGUCUGUUCAACUUCCUGAUUGAGGUGUCUAACUCCUGGAACCGGUCGCUAAUACCGCAUACCCUCCGCUUUUCCCCCAUGGGAUUCGAUCGUAGGUGGGGUAAUGGCUCACCUAGGCGACGAUCCCUAGCUGGUCUGCGAGGAUGACCAGCAACACUGGAACUGAGACACGGUCCAGACUCCUACGGGAGGCAGCAGUGGGGAAUAUUGCACAAGGGGCGCAAGCCGGAUGCAGCCAUGCCGCGUGUGUGAAGAAGGCCUUCGGGUUGUAAAGCACUUUCAGCGGGGAGGCGGGACCCGAAGAAGAAGCACAGGCUAACUCCGUGCCAGCAGCCGCGGUAAGUC